GACAGAGGGGGCAAGCGUUGCUCGGAAUCACUGGGCGUAAAGGGCGCGUAGGCGGGAUGGCAAGUCGGUCGUGAAAUCCCUGGGCUCAACUCAGGGGGGUCGGCCGAUACUGCCGUUCUUGAGGGAUGCAGAGGAGACUGGAAUUCCCGGUGUAGCGGUGAAAUGUGUAGAGAUCGGGAGGAACACCGGUGGCGAAGGCGGGUCUCUGGGCAUUCCCUGACGCUGAGGCGCGAAAGCAUGGGGAGCGAACAGG
rnacentral:rRNA from 1 species